rnacentral:rRNA from 1 species
GUCCAGACUCCUACGGGAGGCAGCAGUGGGGAAUAUUGCACAAUGGGCGAAAGCCUGAUGCAGCAACGCCGCGUGAAGGAAGAAGGGUUUCGGCUCGUAAACUUCUAUCAACAGGGACGAAAGAAAUGACGGUACCUGAAUAAGAAGCCCCGGCUAACUACGUGCCAGCAGCCGCGGUAAUACGUAGGGGGCAAGCGUUAUCCGGAAUUAAUGGGUGUAAAGGGAGCGUAGACGGCGAGGUAAGCCUGAAGUGGAAGCCCGCGGCCCAACCGCGGAACUGCUUUGGGAACUGUUUUGCUGGAGUAUGGGAGGGGUAAGCGGAAUUCCUGGUGUAGCGGUGAAAUGCGUAGAUAUCAGGAGGAACACCGGUGGCGAAGGCGGCUUACUGGACCAUAACUGACGUUGAGGCUCGAAAGCGUGGGGAGCGAACAGGAUUAGAUACCCUUGUAACG